UUUGAUGCUUACAUUGAUGCCUGGUUUUUGUACUGAAGAAACACUGAGAUUGCUACAGACAAGAAAGAUAAUCAUAAUAACUUAAUUCCAGUGAAUGUGAAUUUGGUGUUCAAGAAAUACAACACAUGUAAUGGUUGGCUAAAGUCAGGAAUAGCAGAAAAAAAGAUGGUGGACCACCUUCUGAGGGAGCAGUUGUUCCUGGAGGAGCAUUUUUGAAGCAAUGACUGCUCUGAGGAGAAAAGGGAAUCAUUCACUCUCACACCACCAUAGCUGAAUGCUCUGUUUCCACGUGCCUGCCAAUCCUCCCUAGCCCUUCCAUCUGAGCCUGCGAGGUUUUGAUGAUACAACACCACAGCAUCUUGGCUUUCAUUUGAUUUAAAAUUUGUGAUUGCAAUUAUGGACUUUGCAUUUCUAUGGGCUUACUGCUGCAUAGGAAGGCUUUUGUGCCCAAGGUAUUGUGUGGCAUGGCAGCUUAAGGGAUGCCAAUACAGCAGAGGCCUGAAUGUCCUGAAACCUGUGAAGUACGUGGGGGAAAAAACUUGACUGCUAAUUUGAUUCAGAGUACCACAACAACUGUCCAUACUGGCAUGACUCCUUCAGGGUAGCAAAUUUAUGUAUCUGUGUAAACACUAAGCAAAAAAUCAGAAGACAUUCAUCACAUAUGUAAAAAUAGAGCUGUGGUUAAUAUAGUGUACGCUGUGGUCUGUUACUACUCUGGGAUAUGGUGUCUCUGCUGCUUACAUGGAUAUGAUGUAUCUACUUGUGAGAUACCAGCAUUCCUCCUUUACAAUUAUGUUGAAUGAUACCACUGCACUUUGUCUUUACCACACUCCUC